rnacentral:rRNA from 1 species
AUCCCGAUGCUAUUCUAGAGAUAGAAAGUUACUUCGGUACAUCGGUGACAGGUGGUGCAUGGUUGUCGUCAGCUCGUGUCGUGAGAUGUGGUUAAGUCCGCAACGAGCGCAACCCCUAUUGUUAGUUGCCAUCAUUCAGUUGGGCACUCUAGCGAGACUGCCGGUAAUAAACCGGAGGAAGGUGGGGAUGACGUCAAAUCAUCAUGCCCCUUAUGACCUGGGCUACACACGUGCUACAAUGGUUGGUACAACGAGUUGCGAGUCGGUGACGGCGAGCUAAUCUCUUAAAGCCAAUCUCAGUUCGGAUUGUAGGCUGCAACUCGCCUACAUGAAGUCGGAAUCGCUAGUAAUCGCGGAUCAGCACGCCCGCGGUCCGAAUACGUUCCGGGCCUU